rnacentral:rRNA from 1 species
ACUCCUACGGGAGGCAGCAGUAGGGAAUCUUCCACAAUGGACGAAAGUCUGAUGGAGCAACGCCGCGUGAGUGAAGAAGGGUUUCGGCUCGUAAAAACUCUGUUGUUAAAAGAAGAACAUAUCUGAGAGUAACUGUUCAGGUAUUGACGGUAUUUAACCAGAAAGCCACGGCUAACUACGUGCCAGCAGCCGCGGUAAUACGUAGGUGGCAAGCGUUGUCCGGAUUUAUUGGGGCGUAAAGCGAGCGCAGGCGGUUUUUAAAGUCUGAUGUGAAAGCCUUCGGCUCAACCGAAGAAGUGCAUCGGAAACUGGGAAACUUGAGUGCAGAAGAGGACAGUGGAACUCCAUGUGUAGCGGUGAAAUGCGUAGAUAUAUGGAAGAACACCAGUGGCGAAGGCGGCUGUCUGGUCUGUAACUGACGCUGAGGCUCGAAAGUAUGGGUAGCAAACAGGAUUAGAUACCCUGGUAGGAUAGCG